UUCUAAAAAGCUGGGAGACCAGCAAAGAGUCCCAUGCACUCCGAGGGCCCCAUUUAGCUCGGCUUGAGUUAAUGCACAGGCUGAGAGAAAGGGGUUGCCCCAAGGAGAGCCUGCUAGGUGAGCCUUCAGAGCUAAUGGUGUAGUUCUUUGAGAAGUUUGGAGAUAAACCCUACUGCACCACCGACCUAAAAAUAUACCUGCACCUGCUCGCUCCUGAGCAGCAUGUACAGUUCAUUAAUCGUCUGAGUGAAGCGGUUCCACUAGGAGAGCAGGGUGAGGAGGGCUUUGCUUUUCCAGACCACACCAAAGCGCUGCAAAGGCAUCUCUGUGUGUGUCAGCUGAGUUGAGGCCUCAGGCUGCAUCACUCUCUCGACGUGGAUGGAAAACUGCUGCUCAUUACGGAGCUCAAGGCUCACUAU